rnacentral:misc_RNA from 1 species
GAUGAAGAACGUAGCGAAACGCGAUAAGUAAUGUGAAUUGCAGAAUCCAGUGAAUCAUCGAAUCUUUGAACGCACAUUGCGCCCGCCAGCAUUCUGGCGGGCAUGCCUGUUCGAGCGUCAUUGCUGCCCUCAAGCACGGCUUGUGUGUUGGGCCUCCGUCCUCCUCCCGGGGGACGGGCCCGAAAGGCAGCGGCGGCACCGCGUCCGGUCCUCGAGCGUAUGGGGCUUCGUCACCCGCUCUUGUAGGCCCGGCCGGCGCUUGCCGACACAUCAAUCUUUUUUCCAGGUUGACCUCGGAUCAGGUAGGGAUACCCGCUGAACUUAAGCAUAUCAAUAAGCGGAGGA